CAGCAGUGAGGAAUACUGGUCAAUGGGCGAGAGCCUGAACCAGCCAUCCCGCGUGCAGGAUGACGGCCCUACGGGUUGUAAACUGCCUUUCUGCAAGAAGAAUGGUCAUUACGAGUAGUGAUUUGACGGUAUUGCAGGAAUAAGCAUCGGCUAACUCCGUG
rnacentral:rRNA from 1 species